rnacentral:rRNA from 1 species
CCUACGGGGGACUGCAGUGGGGAAUAUUGCACAAUGGGCGAAAGCCUGAUGCAGCAACGCCGCGUGAAGGAAGAAGGGUUUCGGCUCGUAAACUUCUAUCGACAGGGACGAAAGAAAUGACGGUACCUGAAUAAGAAGCCCCGGCUAACUACGUGCCAGCCGCCGCGGUAAUCCGUCGGGGGCAAGCGUUCUCCGGAAUUACUGGGUGUAAAGGGUGAGUAGGCGGCAUGGUAAGCCAGAUGUGAAAGCCUUGGGCUUAACCCGAGGAUUGCAUUUGGAACUAUCAAGCUAGAGGACAGGAGAGGAAAGCGGAAGUCGGAGGGUAGCGGUGAAAUGCGUAGAGAUUAGGAAGAACACCAGUGGCGAAGGCGGCUUUCUGGACUGAAACUGACGCUGAGGCACGAAAGCGUGGGGAGCGAACAGGAUUAGAUACCCUUGUAGUC